UCUCUGGUGGCUUAGAUAGUAAAGAGCCUGCCUACAAUGCAGGAGACCUGGGUUCAAUCCCUGGGUAGGGAG
rnacentral:tRNA from 1 species